AAACUUUCAACAACGGAUCUCUUGGUUCUGGCAUCGAUGAAGAACGCAGCGAAAUGCGACAAGUAAUGUGAAUUGCAGAAUUCCGUGAAUCAUCGAAUCUUUGAACGCACAUUGCGCCCUCUGGUAUUCCGGAGGGCAUGCCUGUCCGAGCGUCAUU
rnacentral:rRNA from 2 species